rnacentral:rRNA from 1 species
CAGCCGCCACGGUAAUACAGAGGGUGCGAGCGUUAAUCGGAUUUACUGGGCGUAAAGCGUGCGUAGGCGGCUUCUUAAGUCGGAUGUGAAAUCCCUGAGCUUAACUUAGGAAUUGCAUUCGAUACUGGGAAGCUAGAGUAUGGGAGAGGAUGGUAGAAUUCCAGGUGUAGCGGUGAAAUGCGUAGAGAUUUGGAGGAAUACCGAUGGCGAAGGCAGCCAUCUGGCCUAAUACUGACGCUGAGGUACGAAAGCAUGGGGAGCAAACAGGAUUAGAUACCCCGGUAGUCCCUGUCUCUUAUAC